rnacentral:rRNA from 1 species
AUUGAACGCUGGCGGCAUGCCUUACACAUGUAAGUCGAACGCGAAAGGGGGGCAACCCCUGAGUAGAGUGGCGCACGGGUGAGUAAUGCAUCGGAACGUGUCCUGUAGCGGGGGAUAACCUAGCGAAAGCUGGGCUAAUACCGCAUACGCCCUAAGGGGGAAAGUGGGGGAUCGUAAGACCUCACACUAUAGGAGCGGCCGAUGCCGGAUUAGCUAGUUGGUGGGGUAAAAGCUCACCAAGGCGACGAUCCGUAGCGUGUCUGAGAGGAUGAUCAGCCACACUGGGACAGAUACACGGCCCAGACUUCUACGGGAGGCAGCAGUGGGGAAUUUUGGCCAAUGGGGGAGACCCUGAUCCAGCCAUGCCGCGUGAGUGAAGAAGGCCUUCGGGUUGUAAAGCUCUUUCGGCCGGGACGAAAUCGCACGCGUGAAUAUCGUGUGCGGAUGGCGGUACCGGCAGAAGAAGGACCGGCUAACUACGUGCCAGCCGCCGCCGUAA